GGAAAAGAGAAAGGAAGGGGAAAGGGACAGAGAGAGGGGAAAAGGGAAAGAGAGGGGGAAAAGAGAAGGGAAAGAAAAGAGGAAAGGGGAAGGGACAGAGAGAGGGGAAAAGAGAAGGAAGAGGAGAAAGGAAGGGGAAAGUGAUAGAGAGAGGGGAAAAGAAGAGAGGGGAGAGAGGAAGGGGAAAGGGACAGAGAGGGAGAAGGAAGGGAAAGAGAGAACUAUUGUAUUAGUUGUAUGUGUAUAUGUGACCCUGAUUUAGCUGGCAGACAAAUCAACAAAACAAUAAAUUGAGGCACAUCUAAAAUGGUUGGACCAUGUCCCAGUUCCACCAAGAAUGGGAAGAGGACCUUGCCAUGGUAUCAGAUGCAGUAACUGUGUGGUUUGUCACCAAAGAAUUCUUGGAGUCAGCACUUUGAGAAUAUCAACCUGAAGAGAGUUUGAUAUCACACAUCUCUCAUCUCUUCCAAUCUGGGAAGCCUGAAGAAAACUAAGAGAUUGAAGAGACUGGAUCUUUCUUCUUUCCUGCUCUG
rnacentral:lncRNA from 1 species